UGUUGAACAGAAGUCCAAAUUAGUAAAACCAAUACUGAAAGUAAAAUAAAUGAACACACAAAGCUACUCUUCUGAACACACAAAGCUCUCAUCAGACAUAAAUCUUAUUUUCUGUGAUGUAGUAUUAUUUAUUAUUUGUUAAAGUAUUUCAGCUCUGGGGCUGUUUAAAAUGUUACGUCAUAAUUACAGAAUUAAUUUGUGAGACACUUAUUUAAAAUACUAUAAAGCAAACUUCUGCCUCCAAUUAAAUGGCAGAUUAGAUCUAUACAAUUAAAUAAUUUCAGAGAUUAAUUGUUUCAUGUCUGUAAAUAUCACAGGGUUAAAUCUGGAAACAAAAGCAGACAAUUUAUUAAUUACUUUAUAUAAAUAUGCAGAUACAUAUAUAUGCAUAUGUUUUUAAAAUAUGUAUACACAUAUAUCUCUAAGUGACGCUAUCCUAUUGAUAUGGCAAAAGAAGUUGAUCCAGUCGUAGAUCUAAUAUCUGUAUUUCAGCAAUCUGUAAUGAAAUUUUUAUACAUGCAUUGUUCAGGAAAGAACAGCUAGUACAAAAUCAACCGUAAAAGCUUGAUAACUGUAGUUAUUGAAAUAAUUUAAAAGCAAAUCAGCAUUUGAGAAGUGUUGGUCAGAAAACUUUAAUCAAAGCAGACUGGGGAUUUCUAUGUGUAACCUCUUUCAUGAGACAAGUCCCAAGGUCCUUUAGAAAAUAAUGAAAUUAGCAAUGCAAAUAUUGAUGAAUGUAGUAGGUCAAACAAAGCUGUCCUUGCUCUUGAGAGUGCUGCUACUGUUAAGUCAACAAACCAAGGGAUUCCAGAUGCAAAAAAAGUGCAAGCCUCAAAGCCAGGCAUGCUAGGUUUUUGGUAAGGAUCAAAAAGAGUGUUGAAAACAGUUUGCAAGUCUUGGUUUUGGUUUCUAUAUAAUUGUUAUAUUUCAUUGUGUCUAUUUGCUCUAGGGCUUUUUUGCUUCUUAGGGACAAUCUUUGACGUAUUCAUGAACGUGCCAAAUCUUUCCUGUAGGACAGUGAUGAACAGUCAUAACAAUGGUAAGGAAGAAAAGAUGUGAAGAUGCAUUUGAACAAUUCUCAUUGGAAGAGUCUUUUAUUUUACCCAGCUUCUCUCCUGAGACUACUGAGCUGAGCAGAGUGAAACCAAUUGUUGAGACAUCAUGCAUGGAUCUAAGGGACCAAUGGUAGUAGUGAAUAUACAAGAUAUCCUGGGAGAAACCUGAGACCACCUAAAAGCAGCUCUAAGAUGCGUUCAACUCACAUUCACAGAGCAAUGUUCUCCUUGAAUGGGAAGAUCCAGAUCAAAGGCAAGUGGGACACCUCUUGGAUGUUAAGACCCAUGAAAGCUGGAGGAAGAAUUCAGGCAGCCAGAAGCCACACAAUGAGACAGGACACUUCAAAGUCAUCAGCUACAUUCCCAGGAGGCAGUGCACAUAGGCUUCAGAUGUUUUUAUGUAGAUGCAUUACAAGGUAGCAUCAAAAAUCUGCACUGGGACUCUGUGAUACUCGUGUGUUGCUGGGAAUUUCUGGUUUCAGUCUCAGGUGAUGUAAAAAAAAAUCUGAUGGUUAUUAAAAAUAUGAAAAAGUGAUAGUUCCACUGUUUUGGCUAAAUACACAUUAAAUUUUCACUCCCUUAAAAUUUAAACAAUGCAACUCUCCCCCUUGGUUAGUGCACUGCAACCAUCCAGGUAAGCAGGACAGCUGAGAAAAAAUUUUGGACAUUCUUCUGCCAAAAUUUACUGUUGUAUUUCAGUAACUCAUUAAGUGUUUUUUAGAGCAGGUUUGGAGUGAAUAAGAUCUAGCUUUCUAGCUUUUUUCCACUUGGUUGUUCUCGUUCAGGAAACCUAUUGGAACUAAAACCUGUAAGUUUACAUCUAUGGUGGAAAAGGAACAUCAGCCCUAAGGGCACAGUUCUAAUUCUCCUUUCUGUUUUUUUUUUGUUUUGUUUGGGAUGGGUUUUUCACUUUAUUUUGGCGGUGGGUUUUUUGUUUAGUUUGGGUUUUUUUCACUCUGAAGAAGGUAAAUGACAAGGUGAAGUUACCCCAUGAUUUUUGCAAAGGCAAGGUCCGUGCUCCCAGGCUGGUGCUGUCUGUCCAUCCAACCCAGCGGUACCCACUGUGCACAUCUGCUGCUCAGAUGGGAGCUGCUCGGAUGGGAGCUGCUCGGAUGGGAGCACACAGCCCAGCACUCCCUCGGUGCCUCAGUGCGAGCUCAGGAAUGGCACACGGGUGACAGAGCACAGAGGUGACACAGCACACGGUGACAGCACACAGUGACACAGCACAUGGCUGACAGAGCACACACACAAACCCCGACACACACCCAGCCUGCCCCACUGGGCACAGGUUCUCAUUUCUGUCUGCAUCCCUAACAGCAGAGUAAGGUGUGGGAAUUCUCUCUCUCUUGCCUUCUUUUUUUCAGUGUAACUAACUCUAAAGCACAUGGGAGGUUAUCUUCAAUUCAAAGCUGGUAUGUAGGACAAAUAUAAACUAUAAUUAAAUUAUAGGUUACUAUAUAAUUAGUAAGACCAUGGUACCACAGAGUACUAGAAGAGGAGGUUUUUCUUUGGUUUAAAUAUUCAAAUAAAGAUACAUAUGUACAACUUCUCAAGGAAACUUAUUCUGCACAACUGUGCCCAUAUCUCAGACUGAAAAAGUCAAUUACCUUAAAAAAAUUAUUCUUAGCUAAUUGUAUUAUCUUUUCAGUAAGUUUUAGAAGCAUGACAAAGCUAGUUCUGAAGGAAGACUAAACCAAAAGGGGUGGAAGGUUUGAAGAAAUGUGUUCUCUCUGGUUGCAGUCCUUCCUCAACCCUGGUCUUGCACACGUGCUGCCAGCAGUGACAAAUCUUCCUGUUCUUUUUUUAUAAUUGUUUUGCAUCUCCUCUGUUCCUAUUUGCAGCUUGUAAUAUGCUGUAUUGUAAAGGCGUUCCUUACUCUUUUUUUCUAGAAGUGGGACUAAACUGCCAGCUAGACAUUGAACUGAGAUAAGGCAUAAGGCAGGCAGGCCAACUCCAACUUUAACUCUACAACAAUUCAAGGCUGAUUUAUAUUUUGAACUGUCACUCUAUGGUUUACAAGGGGAAAAGUGUGAGCAAAGAUUGAGAUUUUCCUUCUAUAAAUUGUGGAAGGGUGAGGGGGAAGUGACAGAUCUCAUUUAAAAGCCUUAUUGAAGUAGCCGUGUUGAAUGAUGGUGCCAUUGCUUGUCUCUAUGUCUUAUUGUCAUAAUGUAAAGCCUUUUAUAAUUAGAAGAAACCACAGAAGUCAGGGUAAAGUACAACAGAUCCAGAAAGAGCUGGAAACUUGAGGAAGGGGGGGGAAAAAGCAAACCAAAAAAACCACAAAAAACCAAAAAACAAACAACAAUAGACACAGGCUGGAGAAGAUAUUUUAUUUAUUUGUU